GACGAACGCUGGCGGCGUGCUUAACACAUGCAAGUCGAACGGAAAGGCCCUGCUUUUGUGGGGUGCUCGAGUGGCGAACGGGUGAGUAACACGUGGGUAACCUGCCCUUGACUUUGGGAUAACUUCAGGAAACUGGGGCUAAUACCGGAUAGGAGCUCCUGCUGCAUGGUGGGGUGUGGAAAGUUUCGGCGGUUGGGGAUGGUCUCGCGGCUUAUCAGCUUGUUGGUGGGGUAGUGGCUUACCAAGGCUUUGACGGGUAGCCGGCCUGAGAGGGUGACCGGCCACAUUGGGACUGAGAUACGGCCCAGACUCCUACGGGAGGCAGCAGUGGGGAAUAUUGCACAAUGGGCGGAAGCCUGAUGCAGCAACGCCGCGUGCGGGAUGACGGCCUUCGGGUUGUAAACCGCUUUCGCCUGUGACGAAGCGUGAGUGACGGUAAUGGGUAAAGAAGCACCGGCUAACUACGUG
rnacentral:rRNA from 1 species